UACGGGGGGAGCAAGCGUUGUUCGGAUUUACUGGGCGUAAAGGGCGCGUAGGCGGGACGCCAAGUCGGUCGUGAAAUCUCCGGGCUCAACCCGGAGGAGUCGGCCGAAACUGGUGUUCUUGAGGGAGGCAGAGGAGUCUGGAAUUCCCGGUGUAGCGGUGAAAUGUGUAGAGAUCGGGAGGAACACCGGUGGCGAAGGCGGGACUCUGGGCCUACCCUGACGCUGAGGCGCGAAGGCGUGGGGAGCAAACGGG
rnacentral:rRNA from 1 species